AGCAGAAGGUCAUACACAGGAGGAGGCAGGUAGCUGGGUCCAGGGGCAGGCAGAAGGUCAUACACAGGAGGAGGCAGGUAGCUGGGUCCAGGGGCAGGCAGAAGGUCAUACACAGGAGGAGGCAGGUAGCUGGGUCCAGGGGCAGGCAGAAGGUCAUACACAGGAGGAGGCAGGUAGCAGGGUCCAGGGGCAGGCAGAAGGUCAUACACAGGAGGAGGCAGGUAGCAGGGUCCAGGGGCAGGCAGAAGGUCAUACACAGGAGGAGGCAGGUAGCAGGGUCCAGGGGCAGGCAGAAGGUCAUACACAGGAGGAGGCAGGUAGCAGGGUCCAGGGGCAGGCAGAAGGUCAUACACAGGAGGAGGCAGGUAGCAGGGUCCAGGGGCAGGCAGAAGGUCAUACACAGGAGGAGGCAGGUAGCAGGGUCCAGGGGCAGGCAGAAGGUCAUACACAGGAGGAGGCAGAAGGUCAUACACAGGAGGUCCAAAAGGACAACAGU